rnacentral:rRNA from 1 species
GGCGAACGCUGGCGGCGUGCUUAACACAUGCAAGUCGAACGGAAAGGCCCUGCUUUUGUGGGGUGCUCGAGUGGCGAACGGGUGAGUAACACGUGAGUAACCUGCCCUUGACUUUGGGAUAACUUCAGGAAACUGGGGCUAAUACCGGAUAGGAGCUCCUGCUGCAUGGUGGGGGGUGGAAAGUUUCGGCGGUUGGGGAUGGACUCGCGGCUUAUCAGCUUGUUGGUGGGGUAGUGGCUUACCAAGGCUUUGACGGGUAGCCGGCCUGAGAGGGUGACCGGCCACAUUGGGACUGAGAUACGGCCCAGACUCCUACGGGAGGCAGCAGUGGGGAAUAUUGCCCAGUGGGCGGAAGCCUGAUGCAGCAACGCCGCGUGCGGGAUGACGGCCUUCGGGUUGUGAACCGCUUUCGCCUGUGACGAAGCGUGAGUGACGGUAAUGGGUAAAGAAGCACCGGCUAACUACGUG